CAGUAGCCGCGGUAAUACGGAGGGUGCAAGCGUUAAUCGGAUUUACUGGGCGUAAAGCGUGCGUAGGCGGCUUCUUAAGUCGGAUGUGAAAUCCCUGAGCUUAACUUAGGAAUUGCAUUCGAUACUGGGAAGCUAGAGUAUGGGAGAGGAUGGUAGAAUUCCAGGUGUAGCGGUGAAAUGCGUAGAGAUCUGGAGGAAUACCGAUGGCGAAGGCAGCCAUCUGGCCUAAUACUGACGCUGAGGUACGAAAGCAUGGGGAGCAAACAGGAUUAGAUACCCCGGUAGUCCCUGUCUCUUAUAA
rnacentral:rRNA from 1 species